GCCCCCGUUGUCUAAUGGUUAUGACGUCAGACUUCUAUAGACUCGUAGCGAUGGGAUCUGGAGGUUGCGGGUUCGAGUCCCGCCGGGGGUU